UGAGAAAAUGUAAUGGAUCCCAGGGAUUUCUUUUAUAAGCAAGACUCCUGGAGAAGAAAAAUUAUAAGCAAGACUCCUGUCCACAGUUCGAUUUGAACUCAAAAUAAGAUCAUAAAUAAUUUGAAUUGGAUGAUUCUCUCUUCUUGAAUUGGAUUGAAAUCAAUUGGUCUGAAUUGGUGAAAUAAUUGCCUAUAACUUUCUCUAUGGGCUUUCAGUCAGCAUGGCUGCAAAAGUAAGGAUUAGUUCAGGGAUGUUAAACAAAGACACUUAUUGCUGCGGUUCCUCGUGAAAUGUUAAUGAUGGAUGUUAAACAAAGACACUUAUUGCUGCGGUUCCUCGUGAAAUGUUAAUGAU
rnacentral:misc_RNA from 1 species